UUUUAUAUAUAUAACCCUAUAAAAAAAUUAAAUCAAAAUUGCAUGAAUUUUUGCAUUAAUACCUCUAUAAAUAAUUUCCAAGGUGGUAUUUGUUAAAAUCCCAGUGAUUUAGAUAAACAAUAAUCUUAACAGCCAAAUCUCAGUUCAAAGUUCAAACUCUGCGAACUUCCUUCAAAUGUCGACGAGAAUUCAAACAAACACCUUGCGAGCGCUUCAAUGGCGGCCGAAUCGAUCGAGUCUCCGCCCGUGGAGAUCCUCAUGGAGCCCGAGAACCACCAGGAAUCCUUCUUCUCCUCCCGCACUCUCACUAGCCUUGCCGAGAUCUCUCGUAGUCCUGGCCACAACCUCCUCCUUCAACUGUGGCAAAGAGACGAACACCUCUCAGGCUAUCGCGUCGCCGUGCGAGAACUCCAGCUCGAGAACUUCAAGCGCGAGGUUUUCCACCUAUGCUGCCUCUUCUUCGCUUUCCACUUCUUCUUUCUGGCGCUAUUGUUUACCUCCUCCUCCUGGGCGCAUCGCCACCGCGACCGGUGCGCGCGGUGGUGGGUUCCCUUCGCGCUCUCGCUGAUCACUUCGAGUGCCUUGGUCUCUGCGGUGCAGAUGAGAUUGUUCGGGGUCCAGAGAGUGAAGAAGCUGCUGAAGACUGACAAAGGCUCUGACCGCGCGCUGACAAUGUGCGUGCAGGAGCUCAGGCUUAAAGGCGCGAGCUUUGAUCUGUCCAUGGAGCCACUGAAUGUCUCGAGUAUGAAGAGCACCAGUGUUGCCAUCCAGCUGCGGCUGCUGCGGUGGUGCUCGAGGAAUCUCAUCACUUUGUGCCUCGCCGGAGUCUCUGUGAUCUUGAUUCCAGCUUCCAGACUCUUACUUUGUAGCUGAGAGAUGGAAGGACCUGCGUACUGGAGUAUAUCAUCAGUUCAGAUGAGAUAUUUUUUUAAAAUUUCUUUUCGAUGAGGGGUGGUGAAUUGGGCAUUAAAGAAAGAGCGUGCAACCAUUGAACCAAGUUUUUGUAGGACAGUGCGCUGUGAUGGAGUGUUAUUAAUUUGCAACUGUUUAUAAAUUAGACCAGUACUUUUACAAGAACAUGGCUCAUGUUCCAGUCAGUUGUGUUAAAACAUCAUUUACUUUGCUUCUCUUCAUCAGCAAAUAAAGA